GGCGGAGCUACAGUGCGGCUGCGCGCCGUCUGUUUCCUGCACGGUUGACUUCAAUAACCGUCAUGCAACGCGCACUGCUGUUCGUGAAUUCGCUUAUUAGUUCACGGGUCAUUCAAAUGAAGGCAAGGUAUUUUAGUACUACUUGAGAAUGUGACGUUUUAACUUAAUAGAUCGUCUACAUGAGACUCCUACCACCUUGAGAUGAACUCCAUAUCCCGUCAUACAGUGCUGUCUUCCGGGUUGUCCGACCCAAUCAGAACGCCCGAAAACAGGAUUUAAAACUGGCCCCGCCCCUCUAUCGCUCUCUUUACCAUGGUGGCUCACAAGGCUGAGGACCCUGCUGGUGGUGGUAAAGUGCCGCAGUUCGUGGCGAAGACGCCUGCCGCUGCCGUGGUUCGUCCUCCGGGUUGAGGGACGAAUCCGAGGAACCGAGGACGGAGGACCCCAAUGGUACCGGCCCUCGGCGAUGCGCAGCCUGGAACUUUCUUACCGUGCUCCCGUGUCGGAAAACUGACUGCUGUCAGUGUCUCUCUGCCCUCAAGAUGACAGCGGCGCUCCCUAGUGUCAGAAUCAGAACGAGCUUUAUUGCCAAGAUUUUCCCGAAUCUAGUCGGAGUCGUGUCUGCAGAAAUGGACAUGCUUCUCCACCUCUGCCUGCAUUCUGUAAUCAGGACCUGA
rnacentral:lncRNA from 1 species